GACGAACGCUGGCGGCGUGCUUAACACAUGCAAGUCGAACGGAAAGGCCCUGCUUUUGUGGGGUGCUCGAGUGGCGAACGGGUGAGUAACACGUGAGUAACCUGCCCUUGACUUUGGGAUAACUUCAGGAAACUGGGGCUAAUACCGGAUAGGAGCUCCUGCUGCAUGGUGGGGGUUGGAAAGUUGCGGCGGUUGGGGAUGGACUCGCGGCUUAUCAGCUUGUUGGUGGGGGAGUGGCUUACCAAGGCUUUGACGGGUAGCCGGCCUGAGAGGGUGACCGGCCACCUUGGGCCUGCGGUACGGCCCAGACUCCAACGGGCGGCAGCAGUGGGGAGUCUUGCACAAUGGGGCCAAGCGUGAUGCAGCAGCCCCGCGUGCGGGAUGACGGCCUUCGGGUUGUGAACCGCUUUCGCCUGUGCCGAACCGUGAGUGACGGUACUGGGUCAAGAAGCCCCGGCUAACUACGUG
rnacentral:rRNA from 1 species